rnacentral:tRNA from 1 species
GCGCUCUUAGCUCAAUUGGACAGAGCAACGUAGUUCUAAUUCGUAGGUUACAGGUUCGAAUCCUGUAGGGCGUA